rnacentral:lncRNA from 1 species
AUGAAGUGCUGGGCCAGUUGCUGGGCACCGGACAACAGAACGUUCUGUGACACCGGAAAGGUCCUGUACCUGCCCUGUCCAGCAAGGGAGCCACCAGCCUCCUGUGAGCCUCUACCGUGGGGACUGGAUCUCCCACCUCCGGGAAGCGCCGGGACCCAUGCACCUGCCAGGCACUUCCGUACAGAAGCAGAGACUAAGCAGGUGAGCUGGAACCAGGAAGAACCAAAGAGUGCGUCUGCUUUCCUGGGUAACAGAGCUGGAACUUCGAGGCUCCUGUCCGGCUGGAACAGCGCCAGGGCCGGCCACACCUGCACCUGCCCCUGAGCGGCCUGGGCUGCAGCGUCCUCUGCCCAAACAGUGUCUGAACGGUGUCUGUGACCAAUCUGAAGACCAGUUUCUCCUCCUCUCCCACCUUGAACGGGGUCCGAGCAUCCUGGGAAAGAACGGGUACUGGCACCUUGGCCAACUCAUCGACUAUUCCCGCCCCCCUCCCAUCAUCCAAGCAAAGACCUAGAGUACCCUAGAUUCUUCCUAACUGCCUCGUUCUGAGACACCCCAUGAUCCCGCAGGCUGGGUGCUCUGUUUCCCUGUGCAAAGUAAUAAAUCCAAUUUGUCCAACCA